rnacentral:tRNA from 1 species
GGGGAUUUAGCUCAGUGGUAGAGCGCUUGCCUACCAAGCACAAGGCCCUGGGUUCGGUCCCCAGCUCCA